rnacentral:rRNA from 1 species
GACGAACGCUGGCGGCGUGCUUAACACAUGCAAGUCGAACGGAAAGGCCCUGCUUUUGUGGGGUGCUCGAGUGGCGAACGGGUGAGUAACACGUGAGUAACCUGCCCUUGACUUUGGGAUAACUUCAGGAAACUGGGGCUAAUACCGGAUAGGAGCUCCUGCUGCAUGGUGGGGGUUGGAAAGUUUCGGCGGUUGGGGAUGGACUAGCGGCUUAUCAGUUUGUUGGUGGGGUAGUGGCUGACCAAGGCUUUGACGGGUAGCCGGCCUGAGAGGGUGACCGGCCACAAGGGGACUGCGAUACGGCCCAGACUCCUACGGGAGGCAGCAGUGGGGAAUAUUGCACAAUGGGCGGAAGCCUGAUGCAGCAACGCCGCGUGCGGGAUGACGGCCUUCGGGUUGUAAACCGCUUUCGCCUGUGACGAAGCGUGAGUGACGGUAAUGGGUAAAGAAGCACCGGCUAACUACGUG